rnacentral:lncRNA from 1 species
AUAAAACGCCCAAAUAUCCUCCAAUCAUUUACAAGAUCCAUGAAAUCUGUAUACUGAAUUCGCAGCAAACAAUCAUCGAAAACAAGAACUAUGCAGAACAAAGUAUACUCAAUCCAGUAAGCUAGUGUUUAAAGAUUGCAGACAGAGAAAGCGCAAAGAAAUGGGGAAUUGAGAUUUGGAAGAUGCCUAUUUUAAGAGCGAGAGGAGGCAGGAAAAGCUUUUGAGAGGCAGAUAAUAAGAUAGCCAUUUUUCAUUCCUCUCCAAACAGCUGGAGUUCAUGAAAUUAUUUAGAACGCUUUGGACAUGGCAUACGACCGCGCACCGUAGAAAAAAGAAUUCAUUUGAAUUUUCGAUGCAGAUUCUAUAAGGCCUGGGGUUUAUGAAAACGGAGUAAAACCUCGUAUCAAUCCUCAUGUGGAAAGCACUUUAGGCAUUAAAAAG